UGAUUAUAAGAUUUUACUUUAUCUCAGGUUUAUCUCGGUAUGGCACCUAUACGAAUAUUUUCUGCCCUCUCAUAUUAUAUGAUCAACAUCCUUGGUCUGAGUAACAGAGCUGAUUGUACGUUUUUAAUCUCUCAAGAUUACUCGAUCACUACUCUAAAAGUUCGACACUGUUUUUGUUGAUAUAGGGCUGAUUCGAGAUUAGCAUCCAUCUCAGAAAACAGAAAACUCAAUAGCUUAGAAUGAGCUGCCCCCGGUCUUCCACUGGAUAGAUAUGAAAACCUCCUCACAAGCAAGUUUAAUACUCUUCUUAAUAAUUGCGAAUAUGAUUUAUUUUUUUUUACCAGUCUGUCUACUCAGGCGAAGUUAUUGUUUGUCUACUUUGUGUUUUGCUCUGCACAUUAUGGUGAAAAUAAGCUAUUAAGAAAGUAGGAACUGAGGUUCCCAA